GGGGAAUUCGUCUAGUGGUAAGACGCGGACUUCGCAUGUCUGAAACCGGUGUUCGAUUCACCGAUUCUCCA
rnacentral:tRNA from 1 species